rnacentral:rRNA from 1 species
GAACUUAAGCAUAUCAAUAAGCGGAGGAAAAGAAACUAACAAGGAUUCCCCUAGUAGCAGCGAGCGAACAGGGAAGAGCCCAGCGCUGAAUCCCCCGGGCCUCGCUCGGCGGGAAAUGUAGCGUUUGGGAGGGCCCGUCAACACGGCGACUCGCUCACUGGUUCAAGUCCAACUUGAAUGGGGCCACACAGAGGGUGACAGGCCCGUAGAGCAGGAGCGGUUGUCGUGUGGGUCUCUCCUUAGAGUCGGUUUGCUUGAGAGUGCAGACUUAAGUGGGUGGUAAACUCCAUCUAAGGCUAAAUAUGACCACGAGACCGAUAGCACACAAGUACCGUGAGGGAAAGGUGAAAAGAACUUUGAAGAGAGAGUUCAAGAGUACGUGAAACUGAAGUGGUGUAAACGGACGAGUUCGAAAAGUCCGAAUGGUGAGAUUCAAGCUUACCGUGCCGGUGGCCCUCGGGUUCAGAUGGCGUCGUCAGCUCGGGCUUCGGUUCGGGUCAUACGGCGUCACUCGUCCUGGGGGUAUCUGUCUGGUGCGGUGGGCUGCACUUCUCGCCUAGUAGGACGUCGCGACCCGUUGGGAUGUUCCGUUCACUGGCCCCUGGUGGAGCCCGCGCCGGAGCGUGGCCUUGUGCCGCGUUGCUGUUUGCACGGACCUGGGGUGACCUGAUCGGCGCCCGACGGUAUCAAAGCUUGGGAAGAGGCCGCACAGAGGAUGCGUUCGAUGGCCGUUUCGGCCUACACUCGGACAGGCCUGCACCCGGUCAGCGGCGCUUCUGCUUUCGAUACUCGUCCGACCCGUCUUGAAACACGGACCAAGGAGUCUAACAUCUAUGCGAGUGU